UUUGCGAAGAUGGCGGCGCUGGGGGUGCUGGAGUCAGACCUGCCAAGUGCCGUGACACUUCUGAAAAAUCUCCAGGAGCAAGUGAUGGCUGUAACUGCACAAGUGAAAUCACUGACACAAAAAGUUCAAGCUGGUGCCUAUCCUACAGAAAAGGGUCUCAGCUUCUUGGAAGUGAAAGACCAGCUGCUGCUCAUGUACCUUAUGGAUUUGACUCACCUCAUUCUGGACAAAGCCUCAGGAGGAUCUCUUCAGGGACAUGAUGCAGUUUUGAGACUGGUGGAGAUUCGCACGGUAUGAAGCAUUUGGAGUUUUAGGUUUCUAAAUUUUGAGCUCCAAGGGUAUCACACAGUAGCUCUCAUUUAAGUGAGUCUUCUCAUGUUUAAGGAAACCAAAUGAGAAAAGGUAUUUUUCCAUUCAUUUGCUCUACUUUGUACAUAUUUUAGGUGCCUUAUGUGGCACCUUAAUAUUGGGACUCUGGUGUGUGCUUCAUUUUGGGAAGGAAAUAUAAUCCUGAUUAACUACCAUGUUGUAGGUUUUGGAAAAGCUUCGUCCCUUGGACCAAAAGCUGAAGUAUCAAAUUGACAAGCUGAUCAAGACUGCAGUGACAGGCAGCCUUAGUAAGUGAGGAGACCAUCAUGAAGUUGUGGGGACCAUCAGAAAGUUCCAAAUUUUGUAAAAUUCAUUGGGUUAUUUAUUUCAGGUGAGAAUGACCCACUUCGUUUUAAGCCUCAUCCCAGCAAUAUGAUGAGCAAGGUAAGGGGUUGUAUUAUUCUCCUGAUUUUUUUCUGAGGCAUCUAUACCUAGAUGAGCCUCUUGGUGAUCCUGGAUCCCCUGGGAUUCUCUUAGGACUUGAUUUUCCAACUUGUGUGUUAGAAUGCUGAGUUUGAGAUUCCCUUUUUUCCCUUUUUAUAUUCCCACCUCCCCAGGGUACUCCAGCUUUGGGUUUUCUUCUCACUUACCUCAUGAAUGCUUCCUAAAUUUGCAGACAUCGUUUCUUUUGUAGUUGAGCUCUGAGGAUGAGGAGGAAGAUGAAGCAGAAGAUGGCCAGUCUGAGGCUUCAGGGCAGAAAUCUGUGAAGGGAGUGUCUAAGAAAUAUGUUCCUCCACGCUUGGUUCCAGUACAUUAUGAUGAAACAGAAGCUGAGCGGGAGAAGAAGCGUCUAGAACGAGCCAAGAGACGGGCAUUGAGCAGCUCUGUCAUUCGUGAACUUAAGGAGCAGUACUCAGAUGCUCCAGAGGAAAUCCGUGAUGCUCGGCAUCCCCAUGUUACCCGCCAGAGUCAGGAGGACCAACACAGGAUUAACUAUGAGGAGAGCAUGAUGGUGCGUUUGAGCGUCAGUAAGCGAGAGAAAGGACGGCGAAAACGAGCAAAUGUCAUGAGCUCACAACUUCAUUCCCUUACACACUUCAGUGACAUCAGUGCUUUGACAGGGGGAACUGCUCAUCUUGAUGAGGAUCAGAAUCCUAUUAAGAAGCGGAAGAAGAUACCUCAGAAAGGUCGGAAGAAAAAAGGUCAGUGAACUGCUGGGACUUAGGUGAUCAGGUGCAAGGUGGGGAGUACAAAUUGAAUCUCUUUGGAUUUGCCAUUCUGGGUCUCACCAAGCCCUGUAGUAUCUCUUCCGUACUGGGCAAUAAUCUCCUUAGGUGGGCUUUUAUUUUUUGCUUUCCUGAGCUGGAAAUCAGCAUCAUUCACAAAAUGAAUCUCUGGAUUCUACCUCUAAGGUCCCACAGCUCCUGUUCAGGCUUCCCUAAAUAGAACUGAUAAAGUGUCACUUGAAGGAACCAUUAUCCCAUUUCAAUUUUAUUCCUACUUCUCGUCUUUUGUCCUGGGAAGAUAUUCAGAGUACUGCCUAGGAGACCCCACCCCUGUGAGCCCUUCCCUCUAGGUGUCCUGUUUUCCUGUCCCUUUAGCUUUUCCAACUGUCCUUUGCCUCAUUCUUGGUUUCCCUUCCUUUCAGGUUUUCGGAGGCGGCGGUGAUUAUGGGUGUACAUAUUUGUAUAUUUUUUGUCAUCCUGAGAUACUUCUAAUUUCAUUGUAUAUAGGUGGUUUUCCCUGGAAUUCAUUAAUUGUUUGCUUUGGACAUGUGGAAAGAGCCUUACUAAUAAAAUUGAUUUUACUUAUGAAUUAAAGCCCCUUUUUGCACAUGUAUUGUACGACUGGAGUCGUUGGGUUUGGGAUAUUUUUGGUGAGCGGUUGGUGAAAAGGGAAAUUUUUUUUGGAAGUGCAAAACAUUUGUAUUGUUUUCUUUGAUAAUAUAUUUUUCCCAAAAACUAAAAAUCGGUUACGUCACAAAAAGUAUUGAGAGACGAGGGUGGUAUAAUCAACUCUUUCAACCCAUGUUGCCUCAACUUCCUGUAUGAUUUGUUGUAAUACAAUACAGAUUGAGAUAUUAACACAUGAAUUUUAGGUUUUAUUAGUGUUAUCUGGGCUGGCCACCAGGUGGCAUAAGUGGUUCAAGAAACUUGAGCUUGGCUGUAAUCAAAAGCAAGAUAGAACCUUUCCACAUCAGCAAGAUUAUUCUUAUCUCCACUUCUCUGAAUGUUUUUCAUUUCUUUCUGAAAUAGCAUGAACAUAAGGCUGAUCUUUGGUUAGUUACUGAGGGAGUUUGUAGAAAAUAGUAGAGUGAGUAAGAAGGCUAGAGUGAAGAGUCAGUAUAGUCUUGUGUUUUUCAGUCUCUGACCGCCCCCCCGCUUCAACUGAGGGUCAUUUUACCCGAGUCAGUAAAGGCCAACCCUUCUAUAAAGAGCUGGC
rnacentral:sRNA from 1 species